UACGUAGGGUGCAAGCGUUGUCCGGAUUUAUUGGGCGUAAAGAGCUCGUAGGCGGCCUGUCGCGUCGACCGUGAAAACCCGCAGCUCAACUGCGGGCUUGCGGUCGAUACGGGCAGGCUGGAGUUCGGUAGGGGAGACUGGAAUUCCUGGUGUGAGCGGUGGAAAUGCGCAGAUAUCAGGAGGAACACCGGUGGCGAAGGCGGGUCUCUGGGCCGAUACUGACGCUGAGGAGCGAAAGCGUGGGGAGCGAACAGG
rnacentral:rRNA from 1 species